UCAGAUUUCUUAAGUUUCUCUCUUGGUCUCUCUUGGCUUCAAUCAGCAGCCCUAGAAAACCUUGGUUCCUUGAAUAUUGCCCCAUUUUCAAGUAAAAGUUUGAAGGAGAGUUUCAGUUCUUGGAGUACAACUUUAGAGGAUAAAUUCCUAGAAACUAAGAUUAGCAUUCAAGAAGGGAGGUUGAAUUGUGACAGUGGUAUUGGUCAAAAAAAUAAGGCACAGGUACUCUCGCUAGUAGACCUCCUCAGUAGGAGCAUACGACACUCAGCUACUUUUGGUGAGCUCCAGGUUGCUUCGGAGCUUUACUGAGCCCUUGGUAGACUCAUUUUGGUAUUGUAUCGUAGCUAGGGGUAAGGCGGGGUCUGUCCCGACCUACUCUAAAGGUUUCUAUCUUUUAGAGGCUUUGUAGACUUAUGUAUAUGGUUCA